GUUCUGUAUAAGUUGAGCUGAA
rnacentral:miRNA from 10 species